GUUUCCGUAGUGGAGCGGUUAUCACGCUCGCCUAACACGCGAGAGGUCCUCGGCUCGAAACCGAGCGGAAACA